AGUGAACGCUGGCGGCAGGCCUAACACAUGCAAGUCGAGCGGCAGCGCGGGGGCAACCCUGGCGGCGAGCGGCGGACGGGUGAGGAAUUCGUCGGAAUCUGCCUUUUUGUGGGGGAUAACGUAGGGAAACUUACGCUAAUACCGCAUACGUCCUACGGGAGAAAGUGGGGGACCGCAAGGCCUCACGCAGAAAGAUGAGCCGACGACCGAUUAGCUAGUUGGUGGGGUAAAGGCCCACCAAGGCGACGAUCGGUAGCUGGUCUGAGAGGAUGAUCAGCCACACUGGGACUGAGACAGGGCCCAGACUCCUACGGGAGGCAGCAGUGGGGAAUAUUGGACGAGGGGCGCAAGCCUGAUCCAGCCAUGCCGCGUGUGUGAAGAAGGCCUUCGGGUUGUAAAGCACUUUUGUCCGGAAAGAAAUCCCUGGAGCUAAUACCUUCGGGGGAUGACGGUACCGGAAGAAUAAGCACCGGCUAACUUCGUG
rnacentral:rRNA from 1 species